AAAGUUGGAAGAGUUGCGAACGGGUGAGUAACGCGUAGGUAACCUGCCUACUAGCGGGGGAUAACUAUUGGAAACGAUAGCUAAUACCGCAUAACAGCAUUUAACCCAUGUUAGAUGCUUGAAAGGAGCAAUUGCUUCACUAGUAGAUGGACCUGCGUUGUAUUAGCUAGUUGGUGAGGUAACGGCUCACCAAGGCGACGAUACAUAGCCGACCUGAGAGGGUGGUCGGCCACACUGGGACUGAGACACGGCCCAGACUCCUACGGGAGGCAGCAGUAGGGAAUCUUCGGCAAUGGGGGCAACCCUGACCGAGCAACGCCGCGUGAGUGAAGAAGGUUUUCGGAUCGUAAAGCUCUGUUGUAAGAGAAGAACGUGUGUGAGAGUGGAAAGUUCACACAGUGACGGUAACUUACCAGAAAGGGACGGCUAACUACGUGCCAGCAGCCGCGGUAAUACGUAGGUCCCGAGCGUUGUCCGGAUUUAUUGGGCGUAAAGCGAGCGCAGGCGGUUUAAUAAGUCUGAAGUUAAAGGCAGUGGCUUAACCAUUGUUCGCUUGGAAACUGUUAGACUUGAGUGCAGAAGGGGAGAGUGGAAUUCCAUGUGUAGCGGUGAAAUGCGUAGAUAUAUGGAGGAACACCGGUGGCGAAAGCGGCUUC
rnacentral:rRNA from 1 species